UAAAGGUAUCACAAUAAAAUAUCAGAGAAAACCAUAUGGAACAAAUAUAAACUGGUUGCAGUGAGGAGAAACAGCUGUUACAUUAUUUCUGAAUAUAAAAGACAUGGAAACAAAUAAGGAAACAUUUCAUGAUCGGACGGUCAUUGAAAAGGAAAAACCACGAUGAAAUAUUCUCUGUAUUUUCUUUUAAUUAUCGUUAUUUCAGUGAUUGUUCUGCAGAAAUGCUGGGGACACAGACCAGUUUAUCGUCCUGAUGUGGGCCAUUGCUUUGAUGAAGCGUAUUGCCCAGGAGCCGAGAAAAAGUAUCAUUUUGAUUAUUACAGGGAAAUUUUCUGCUCACAUAUACUAAAGUAUAAAGAUUGUGCUAAGAAGAACAAAGAUCAGCUGUGUAUUGAGGUGCUGGAUUCCUAUUUCAAGUCGGUUUACUUCUGUCCUUGUAUGAGAUUUUUGUUUCUUUGCAACAUACAAUGAGAAAUCGUGAAUCAGGGAGCUUAAUUACUGACGUUCAUAUUCCUGUCAAUUCCGAAGUUGUGAAUAAGAAGUGUAAAAAAUCAAUACAUGUAUACAUAAAUAAAAAUAUAAUAAAUA